rnacentral:rRNA from 1 species
CCUAGUGUCUUAUCGGGGAGGAUACACCCGUUCUCAUUCCGAACACGGAAGUUAAGCUCCCUUGAGCCGAUGGUAGUCGCAAGGCCAGAGUAGGUAGAUGCUAGGA